AGAGGGUGCAAGCGUUAAUCGGAAUGACUGGGCGUAAAGGGCGUGUAGGUGGACUGAUAAGUCAUAGGUGAAAUCCCCGGGCUCAACCUGGGAACUGCCUGUGAAACUGUGAGUCUAGAGUAUAGGAGAGGGAAGUGGAAUUUCCGGUGUAGCGGUGAAAUGCGUAGAUAUCGGAAGGAACACCAGUGGCGAAGGCGGCUUUCUGGCCUAAUACUGACACUGAGGCGCGAAAGCGUGGGGAGCAAACAGGGAUUAGAUACCCUGGUAGUCCACGCCGUAAACGAUGAGAACUAGAUGUUGGGUAGCAUAGACUACUUAGUAUCGCAGCUAACGCGUUAAGUUCUCCGCCUGGGAGUACGGCCGCAAGGUUA
rnacentral:rRNA from 1 species